GACGAACCGUGCGAACGUUGUUCGGAUUCACUGGCUUAAAGGCGCGUAGGCGGCUUGCCAAGUCAGGGUGAAAUCCCAGGCUUAACCUGGGAACUGCGUGUGAUAUUGGAUGGCUUGAAUCCGGAGAGGAUGCGGAAUUCCAGGUGUAGCGGUGAAAUGCGUAGAUAUCGGAGGAACACCGUAGCGAAGGCGGCACGUCUGGCCGGAACUGACGCUGAGAGCGAAGCGUGGAGCAAC
rnacentral:rRNA from 1 species